rnacentral:lncRNA from 1 species
GGAAACUUUAUUUAACCAAAGAGUACCCCAAAGGAAUAGAGUUUCCUUUAUCAGCCAUAUAGUCUGAUACCGAAUUCCCUUCUAAUCUUCCUUAGGAUGCAUGGUUGCAUAAUGAUGUAGGUCAGAUAUCUGUUCUCUGAUGAGGUUAAUGCUCAUCACAGCAUAGUCACCAAAUUUUUCACACCUUUAUCCCAAACAAUCUCGCAGCCUGAAUUAUAGCACUAUAUAUGGGCUCUGCAUAAAGAAUACUGCA